AGCGAACGCUGGCGGCAGGCCUAACACAUGCAAGUCGAACGAAGUCUUCGGACUUAGUGGCGGACGGGUGAGUAACACGUGGGAACGUGCCUUUAGGUUCGGAAUAACUCAGGGAAACUUGUGCUAAUACCGAAUGUGCCCUUCGGGGGAAAGAUUUAUCGCCUUUAGAGCGGCCCGCGCCUGAUUAGCUAGUUGGUGAGGUAAAGGCUCACCAAGGCUACGAUCAGUAGCUGGUCUGAGAGGAUGACCAGCCACAUUGGGACUGAGACACGGCCCAAACUCCUACGGGAGGCAGCAGUGGGGAUUCUUGCGCAAUGGGCGAAAGCCUGACGCAGCCAUGCCGCGUGGAUGAUGAAGGUCUUAGGAUUGUAAAAUCCUUUCACCGGUGAAGAUAAUGACUGUAGCCGGAGAAGAAGCCCCGGCUAACUUCGUGCCAGCCGCCGCGGUAACAC
rnacentral:rRNA from 1 species